rnacentral:rRNA from 1 species
AGUGAACGCUGGCGGUAGGCCUAACACAUGCAAGUCGAACGGCAGCACAGUAAGAGCUUGCUCUUACGGGUGGCGAGUGGCGGACGGGUGAGGAAUACAUCGGAAUCUACUUUUUCGUGGGGGAUAACGUAGGGAAACUUACGCUAAUACCGUAUACGACCUACGGGUGAAAGCAGGGGAUCUUCGGACCUUGCGCGAUUGAAUGAGCCGAUGUCGGAUUAGCUAGUUGGCGGGGUAAAGGCCCACCAAGGCGACGAUCCGUAGCUGGUCUGAGAGGAUGAUCAGCCACACUGGAACUGAGACACGGUCCAGACUCCUACGGGAGGCAGCAGUGGGGAAUAUUGGACAAUGGGCGCAAGCCUGAUCCAGCCAUACCGCGUGGGUGAAGAAGGCCUUCGGGUUGUAAAGCCCCUUUGUUGGGAAAGAAAAGCAGCAGGUUAAUACCCCGCUGUUCUGACGGUACCCAAAGAAUAAGCACCGGCUAACUUCGUG